UCCAGGUUAUCCCUGGCGGUCUCCUGCGAGUUCCCAACUGAAUGAUGGCAACACAGGACAAGGGUUGCGCUCGUUGCGGGACUUAACCCAACAUCUCACGACACGAGCUGACGACAGCCAUGCAGCACCUCGACUGGACCCCCUUGCGGGGUAACAGUGUUUCCACCGCCGUUGACCAGCCGUUCGAGCCCAGGUAAGGUUCUUCGCGUUGCGUCGAAUUGAACCACACGCUCCGCUGCUUGUGCGGGCCCCCGCCUAUUCCUUUGAGUUUUAACCUUGCGGCCGUAGUCCCUAGGCGGCUCAUUUAAUGCGUUAGCUACGGCGCGGAAGGGGUCGAUACCUCCCACACCUAAUGAGCAUCGUUUAGGGCUAGGACUAC
rnacentral:misc_RNA from 1 species